AGUUUAGAAAAUGAAAGAACCUUGUUUGAAGUUCUGGCGAUUCAUUUUUUAAAUUCUAAUUUUUUUUAUACUAAUAUCUGAGCGUGUCAUAUGUCGGAUUGGAUGGUUAUGCAGAUAAUUGGCAUCCUAUGGUAUAUUGUUGGAAAGCUGAAGCUAAAGCAAAUUUUUCAGCCUCCCAUUAUUGCCUCAGCUUUGGCUAUCAUCAUUGGCGCUAUACCAUUUUUGAAGAACUUCAUCUUGACUGAUGAUGCCUUGUUAUUCUUCUUCACUGACAGCUGCCUUAUUCUUGGGGAAGCGAUGAUCCCAUGUAUUUUGCU